rnacentral:misc_RNA from 1 species
CCCCAAAUACAGAGAACAGUUUUCAUAAGCAAUCUUCCUUUUGAUGUUGAUAAUGAAGAAGUGAAACAACGGUUCUCUGCAUUUGGGGAAGUGAAGUCCUUUGUCCCAGUCCUUCAUCAAGUCACCAAGCGACCAAGGGGUACUGGUUUUCUCAAAUUUAAAACAAAAGAUGCAGCCAAUGCAGCCGUUUCUGCAGCUAAUAUUGCGUCUGGUUUGGGGAUUUUGCUGAAAGGUAGGCAGUUGACAGUCUUGAAGGCCUUGGAUAAGAAGUCGGCCCAUGAUAAGGAAAUGGAGAAGGCCAAAAUUGAGGAUCAUGAUCACCGGAAUCUUUACCUGGCAAAGGAAGGUCUUAUUCUUGAGGGGACUCCAGCUUCUGAAGGCAUUUCAGCCAGUGACAUGGCUAAGCGGAAAACGCUGCAUGAGAAAAAGAUGACUAAGCUUCGAUCUCCAAAUUUUCAUGUUUCGAGGACCAGGCUUGUUAUAUACAACUUACCGCAAUCAGUGACUGAAAAAAAACUGAAAAAACUUUGUAUUGAUGCAGUUAUCUCCCGAGCUACAAAGCAAAAACCCAUGAUUCGACAGAUAAAGCUCUUGAAAAGUAUGAAGAAGGGAAAGGUUGUCAUGAAGAACAAUUCACGUGGGGUUGCCUUUGUUGAAUUUUCAGAGCAUCAACAUGCACUUGUGGCUCUUAGGGUUCUUAAUAAUAAUCCUGAUACUUUUGGUCCUGAACAUCGUCCAAUUGUGGAGUUUGCACUUGAUAAUGUUCAAAAAUUGAAGCUCCGGAAAGCUAAGCUGCAAGCUCAGCAAAGCCAUGGUGAUUUGAAAGAUAUACAAGAUAAUGAUGUGUCACAUGAAACGAAUGACAUUCCAGGGAGAAAGGAGAAUUCCAGAAAGCGAAAAUCCCGGGUUGAGAAUAUAGCAGCAAAGAAUUCAGAACUAGAUAAAAAUAUAGAGGAAAAUAUGGUUUCAGAGGGAGCUUCCCCCAAAAAGCAAAGAAGUGAUAAGAAGCGCAAGAGCAAUGCAGGAAGUGGAGAAACAAAAGCUGCUGUACAAGAUAAAUUUAAUAGCACAAAACAGAAGGUGAAAGGCUCUGUGCACGAGCAAAAUGAUAAGAGUUUCAGGAAACCUGAUAACAGAAGUUUAGUCAAAGGUGAAAUGACGGCUAGAAAUACCGAUGAAUCCAAACCUGCCAAGGAAGCAGGUUUGAAGCUGAAAAAGAGGAAGCUGUUAAACCAGGCAGCACAGGGAGGGGAAAAAAGUUCAAAGAAAAGACCAAAAAAGAACAAAGAUCCCUUAGGGCGGGAC